rnacentral:rRNA from 1 species
UACGUAGGGGGCUAGCGUUGUCCGGAAUUACUGGGCGUAAAGCGUGCGUAGGUGGUUUGUUAAGUCUGAUGUGAAAGCCCUGGGCUCAACCUGGGAAUUGCAUUGGAUACUGGCAGGCUAGAGUGCGGUAGAGGAUGGCGGAAUUCCCGGUGUAGCAGUGAAAUGCGUAGAGAUCGGGAGGAACAUCUGUGGCGAAGGCGGCCAUCUGGACCAGCACUGACACUGAGGCACGAAAGCGUGGGAAGCAAACAGG